UGAAGAAACACUGGAUGGAGAUAUACAACUGGAUGUGUUUGACCCAGGGUGCGUGAAGAAUAACUUGAGGUGUCACUGCACUGAAACAGUAGAUCAUGAUAAUCUAUUGGAAGUGUUCAACGAGUAAUCAAUGAGGAAGCACAUUGCAUGGAAUGGUGCUGCAUGGUGAUAAACACCUGGUUGUGUUUGACCAAUGUGGAUGAAGAAGUUCUUGAAGCAUGCCAAAUGCUUUGCAACCCUGGAUGGUGAUAUAAUCCCAUCAAACAAUGUGUCUUUUUGAUAUAGGGUGUAAAAGCAAGCACCUAAAGCAUGUCACAGGGCCUUUCCUGGGUCUCACGAAUUCCGCUC
rnacentral:sRNA from 1 species